ensembl:snRNA Gm24697 predicted gene, 24697
GUGCUCGCUUCAGCAGGACAUAUACUAAAAUUGGAACAAAACCGAGAAGACUUGCAUGACUCCUGUGCACAGAUGACAUCAAAAUUCAUGAAUUAUUUCCUAUUUUA